ACUGGCGGCGUGCCUAACACAUGCAAGUCGAACGGAGAUUAGACGCUGACGAGACUUCGGUCAAAUCUUGUUAAUCUUAGUGGCGGACGGGUGAGUAACGCGUGGGCAACCUGCCUCAUACUGGGGGAUAGCAGUUGGAAACGACUGAUAAUACCGCAUAAGCGCACAGCAUCGCAUGAUGCAGUGUGAAAAACUCCGGUGGUAUGAGAUGGGCCCGCGUCAGAUUAGCUAGUUGGUGAGGUAACGGCUCACCAAGGCGACGAUCUGUAGCCGGACUGAGAGGUCGGACGGCCACAUUGGGACUGAGACACGGCCCAAACUCCUACGGGAGGCAGCAGUGGGGGAUAUUGCACAAUGGAGGAAACUCUGAUGCAGCGACGCCGCGUGAGUGAAGAAGUAUUUCGGUAUGUAAAGCUCUAUCAGCAGGGAAGAAAGGCCCGCAAGGGAGAUGACGGUACCUGACUAAGAAGCCCCGGCUAACUACGUGCCAGCCGCUGC
rnacentral:rRNA from 1 species